CCGGGGCCGCACGCGCGCCACAUUGAAGGAAUCAGCGUGUGCUUUCCCGGUCCGACAGGAUUGGGUAACCCGUUGAACCUCCUUCGUUCUGGGGAUAGAACCUUGUAAUUAGUUCUUGAACGAGGAAUGCCCAGUAAGCACGAGUCAUCAGCUCGUGUUGAUUACGUCCCUGCCCUUUGCACACACCGCCCGUCGCUACUACCGAUUGAAUGAUUAAGUGAGGUCUUCGGACUGGCUGUUUGGUUGGCCUUCGGGUCGAUCGAAUGUGCCGGAAAGAUGACCAAACUUGAUCACUUAGAGAUAGUAAAAGUCGUAACAAGGUUGCC
rnacentral:rRNA from 1 species